AGGUUUCGGCCAAAUGAUAGGAAUGCUUAGUGGCGGACUGGUGAGUAACGCGUGAGGAACCUGCCUUUCAGAGGGGGACAACAGUUGGAAACGACUGCUAAUACCGCAUGAUGCGUAACUGGGACAUCCCGGAUACGCCAAAGAUUUUAUCGCUGAAAGAUGGCCUCGCGUCUGAUUAGAUAGUUGGCGGGGUAACGGCCCACCAAGUCGACGAUCAGUAGCCGGACUGAGAGGUUGACCGGCCACAUUGGGACUGAGAUACGGCCCAGACUCC
rnacentral:rRNA from 1 species